GGACGCAGCAGGACGUAGUCGGGCAUUGCAGGGAAUCGCAGAGCGUAGCAGGGUGUAGCAGGGCAUAGCACGGCGUGCAGCAGGACCACGGCGACAGCCGCAACCAUGAUUUUGGUUACACCUUAAUCCAGGGAAAUAUGCUAGGCG